UGCUCUUCGCCUGACCCUCGGAUAAGUUUUGCUUUGUCCUGCCUGCCCCAACCCCUURCCCUCCUAGCUCUGUCCAUCCCUGGGUGUGCCACUUGUCACUACCACUGUGCUACCUGGACCCCCCAUCUCCCACAACACAAAGAAGAGGUUCCUGUUCCAUUGCUCGUGGUUGCCUGUCCCAUACCCUGAUCCUCAAUAAAGAACUUAUUUUUUA